rnacentral:rRNA from 1 species
UACGUAGGGCGCAAGCGUUGUCCGGAAUUAUUGGGCGUAAAGAGCUCGUAGGCGGUUUGCUGCGUCCGCUGUGAAAACCCAAGGCUUAACCUUGGGCUUGCAGUGGAUACGGGCAGACUAGAGGUAGGUAGGGGAGAAUGGAAUUCCCGGUGUAGCGGUGAAAUGCGCAGAUAUCGGGAGGAACACCGGUGGCGAAGGCGGUUCUCUGGGCCUGUACUGACGCUGAGGAGCGAAAGCGUGGGGAGCGAACAGG